rnacentral:lncRNA from 1 species
AUAUGUUACAUUUUUUAUUUUUAAUAAAUAAAAAUUUUCAUCUUUAAAUCUUAUUAUUUAAAAUUUGUUAUGGAUAAUGUUGGAAGUAAAAAUACCGACCACCAAAUCUAUGAAGAGAAGGAAGCCAUGCUUAAGAGAGAGCCUUUGCUUCAAGGCUCAAGCAGGUGUCUUAUACACCCAUUGACGCAAAUCUAAUAGAAGCAUGACACUUAAUAUCUCUUAAAGAGUAGACAAAAAAACUUAUAUGUCAUCGCUUUAAUGCCGACUCUCCAAGUACGAGACUUGGACCAUAUUGUCGCCAUUGCAGCUUUCACUAAUGGGCUGAGAGAUCAAAACUUCACCAAGUCUCUCUCUCGAAGAUCCCUAAAGUCUUCUCUGACAUGUUAGCCUGCGCCAAAAUAUAUGACAAUGCGAAAGAAAUGAUGGUUGCCAAAUAUCAUAUCAUGGAUUGCAAAGGAAGGAAAGAAACUCGGAUAACCUCAAGCAAAAGUUGCCCCAGUCAGACCGAAAAAAGGAGACGAUUUCCCAGUCACAAGUAUGAACAGUAUACCUCUCUCAAUAGGCCCAAAAAAGAUAUCUUGAUGAUGGCAAAAGGACCUUUUCAGACCUUCUCUGCAGACCUCCUCCUCACCACCGACAUGCCCAAAGAUGAAAGGAUACCUCUCAGUAUUGCCUCUUCCACAAGGACCACGACCACGACGCUGAAGAGUGUGUCCACCUCAAAAAUCAAAUUGAGAAACCCAAAAAAGAUGAGUACCUCAAAAAGUUUUUAGCCUAGCACCCUAAAGAAAGAGGACAAAGAAAAAGCGAAAGGGAAGAGCAAGUUGAAAAAGGGCCAAGAGAAGAACGCCAAUCGAAAGAACCAAACCAUGAGGACUCCCUAACACGCGAAAGACUCCAUAUGAUAACAGGAGGGAGUUCCUUCGAAAGACAUGCCAAGGUUCACCUUACCAUGAUCUCAUAAAAACACCUAGGUCAUGGAAAGAUGAACCCAUCUCUUCAGGACCGAAAGAUCUGGAAUGAUUGCAAAAGCCCUACGACGACGGCAUCAUCAUUUUCGCCACUGUCUAUAACCACGAGAUAAAAAGGAUACUCUUUGACAUCAGAAGUGCCAAUGACAUCCUCUACUAUGAUGCUAUGUGGAAAAUGGGGAUAACGAAUGACCAACUUGAGGCAUUCCAUGUAGAGGUGUCCAUGGCCGGGCGGCCCGACGGCCCGCCUAAAAUAUAAGAGGGUUCGGGUAAAAAUAUAGGUCCGAAAUAUGGAUUUGGGUAAAAAAAUGAGGCCCGUUUAGAAAACGGGCCGGGCCUCGGG